rnacentral:rRNA from 1 species
AUUGAACGCUGGCGGCAGGCCUAACACAUGCAAGUCGAGCGGAUGAGGGGUGCUUGCACCCCGAUUCAGCGGCGGACGGGUGAGUAAUGCCUAGGAAUCUGCCCGAUAGUGGGGGACAACGUUUCGAAAGGAACGCUAAUACCGCAUACGUCCUACGGGAGAAAGUGGGGGCUCUUCGGACCUCACGCUAUCGGAUGAGCCUAGGUCGGAUUAGCUAGUUGGUGGGGUAAAGGCCCACCAAGGCGACGAUCCGUAACUGGUCUGAGAGGAUGAUCAGUCACACUGGAACUGAGACACGGUCCAGACUCCUACGGGAGGCAGCAGUAGGGAAUAUUGGACAAUGGGCGAAAGCCUGAUCCAGCCAUGCCGCGUGUGUGAAGAAGGUCUUCGGAUUGUAAAGCACUUUAAGUUGGGAGGAAGGGCUGUAAGUUAAUACCUUGCAGUUUUGACGUUACCGACAGAAUAAGCACCGGCUAACUUCGUGCCAGCCGCCGCCGUAA